AAUCUCCAACUUCUACCCCUGCAAAACGGGGCAGUUCUUGGAGAAGCCAGCUUGACCACCUUGGUGGACAGUCAGGAUAACAGGUAUCAUCAGGUAGUAGAAAUGUUCUUCAGUACUCCUGUCUGGUCCCUGAAAGCUUGUGUCCAUUAGCUCCACCAUGA